AUGAACGCUGGCGGCGUGCCUAAUACCUGCAAGUCGAGCGAACAGACGAGGAGCUUGCUCCUCUGACGUUAGCGGCGGACGGGGGAGUAACACGUGGAUAACCUACCUAUAAGACUGGGAUAACUUCGGGAAACCGGAGCUAAUACCGGAUAAUAUAUUUAACCGCAUGGUUCAAUAGUGAAAGACGGUUUUGCUGUCACUUAUAGAUGGAUCCGCGCCGCAUUAGCUAGUUGGUAAGGUAACGGCUUACCAAGGCAACGAUGCGUAGCCGACCUGAGAGGGUGAUCGGCCACACUGGAACUGAGACACGGUCCAGACUCCUACGGGAGGCAGCAGUAGGGAAUCUUCCGCAAUGGGCGAAAGCCUGACGGAGCAACGCCGCGUGAGUGAUGAAGGUCUUCGGAUCGUAAAACUCUGUUAUUAGGGAAGAACAAAUGUGUAAGUAACUAUGCACGUCUUGACGGUACCUAAUCAGAAAGCCACGGCUAACUACGUG
rnacentral:rRNA from 1 species